UGCUAAGUGAUCAACUCGAGACUGAAGUCUUUUCUUCAUCCAGAAAUCAGACACAGCGUGGUCAAGAGGUGCACAAGAUUCUUAGCUGCCUUGCAUUAUGUGAAGGAUCACCUAUUGAAUUGGAUAGCUUGCCUCCCUUGAGGGAAGGUCCUGCGAAGGAAGAAGGGAGGGGAGAUCCCAUAGCUUGGCAAGCAAAGCCCAUUCCAAGGACGACUGCAGCUGGAAGGGGUUGAAGGGUGUUGUGGGGAGUCCAGUGGGGCAGAAACCUGCCCAGCAACAGAUGUUCAGGAGCCCCCUGAGGAUCCAGGAUGGGACUCACAGAAGGCGGCUGUCAGCAGACUCCAACCCCCAACAAGUGAAGCAUCCCAUCAAGUUGUGGCAGACAAGAGACAACGAUCCACUGGAAAUUGCAGACAGCCACAUCACCUGAGACACCUUCCUGAUAUGACACAUGCACACCAGACCCUGUGGAGAUUCAGCCCCAGACCACACCAGGUGACUACCUGACAUCUCUGUGUUGUCUUACUGCCAU